UCUCGUCACGUGCAGAUCACUGAUGGA
rnacentral:piRNA from 1 species